rnacentral:rRNA from 1 species
GACGGUCCUAUGGGUUGUAAACUUCUUUUGCAGGGGAAUAAAGAUAUUCACGUGUGGGUAGUUGUAUGUACCCUGCGAAUAAGCAUCGGCUAACUCCGUGCCAGCAGCCGCGGUAAUACGGAGGAUGCGAGCGUUAUCCGGAUUUAUUGGGUUUAAAGGGUGCGUAGGUGGGCUAUUAAGUCAGUGGUGAAAGUUUGUCGCUCAACGAUAAAAUUGCCGUUGAAACUGGUGGUCUUGAGUAUGGAUGAAGUAGGCGGAAUGCGUGGUGUAGCGGUGAAAUGCAUAGAGAUCACGCAAAACUCCGAUUGCGAAGGCAGCUUACUAAGGCAUAACUGACACUGAAGCACGAAAGCGUGGGUAUCAAACAGGAUUAGAUACCCUGGUAGUCCACGCAGUAAACGAUGAUUACUAGGAGUUUGCGAUAUAGUGUAAGCUCUACAGCGAAAGCGUUAAGUAAUCCACCUGGGGAGUACGCCGGCAACGGUGAAACUCAAAGGAAUUGACGGGGGCCCGCACAAG